CCUACGGGAGGCAGCAGUGAGGAAUAUUGGUCAAUGGACGCAAGUCUGAACCAGCCAUGCCGCGUGCAGGAAGACGGCUCUAUGAGUUGUAAACUGCUUUUGUACGAGGGUAAACGCAGAUACGCGUAUCUGUCUGCAAGUAUCGUACGAAUAAGGAUCGGCUAACUCCGUGCCAGCAGCCGCAGUAAUACGGAGGAUUCAAGCGUUAUCCGGAUUUAUUGGGUUUAAAGGGUGCGUAGGCGGUCGGAUAAGUUAGAGGUGAAAUCCCGAGGCUCAACUUCGGAAUUGCCUCUGAUACUGUUCGGCUAGAGAGUAGUUGCGGUAGGCGGAAUGUAUGGUGUAGCGGUGAAAUGCUUAGAGAUCAUACAGAACACCGAUUGCGAAGGCAGCUUACCAAGCUACUUCUGACGUUGAGGCACGAAAGCGUGGGGAGCAAACAGGAUUAGAUACCCUUGUAGUC
rnacentral:rRNA from 1 species